CAGUAUGGGCAACACAUCAAGACUCAGUCUCAAAAAUUUUUUAAAAGAAGAAUAAAUCCAUAGCAUGCUACACUUAAAAAGUUCUCAGAGCUGCCAACCUUACAGUAGAGGCUGAGUAGUAGUAUAUUUUUUCCUACAAAA
rnacentral:snoRNA from 1 species